AAUUUUUUAGUAUAAUAAGUAUGUUUAAUUUCCAAUUAAAAGGUUUAAAAAAUUA
rnacentral:tRNA from 1 species